rnacentral:rRNA from 1 species
GACGUAGGAUGCAAGCGUUGUCCGGAAUUAUUGGGCGUAAAGAGUUCGUAGGCGGUUUCUUAAGUCUGGUGUUAAAGACGGGAGCUCAACUCCCGCAUGGCAUUGGAUACUGGGAAGCUAGAGUGUGGUAGAGGUCUCGGGAAUUCCAGGUGUAGCGGUGAAAUGCGUAGAUAUCUGGAGGAACACCGGUGGCGGAAGCGCGAGACUGGGCCAUAACUGACGCUGAGGAACGAAAGCCAGGGGAGCGAAAGGG